GACGAACACUGGCGGCGCGCUUAACACAUGCAAGUCGAACGGAAAGGCCUGCUUUCCCUUGUGGAUUGCGGGUACUCGCGUGGCGAACGGGUGAGUAACACGUGAGUGAUCUGCCCCCAACUUGGGUAUAAGCCUGGGAAACUGGGUCUAAUUCCCGAUAGAACUGCAGGGUGGUGCCUGUGGUGGAAAACGAUUUUCUAGUGGUUGGGGAUGAGCUCGCGGCCUAUCAGCUUGUUGGUGGGGUAAUGGCCCACCAAGGCGGGGACGGGAAGCCUGCCUGGGAGAGGGGACGGCAACAUUGGGACGGAGAUACGGCCAAGACUCCUACGGGGGGCAGCAGUGGGGAAGAUUGCAAAAGGGGCGGAGGCCUGACGCAGCGACGCCGCGUGGGGGAUGACGGCCUUCGGGUUGUAAACUCCUUUCGACCGCGAGGAAGCCACCUGGCUGGAAGGGUGGUGACGGUAGUGGUAGAAGAAGCACCGGCUAACUACGUG
rnacentral:rRNA from 1 species